ACAAUUGUUGCCCACAAAUAUUUCUCUGCCCCCGCCCAUAUCUAUUUAAUGCACUCUUGUGGUUUCUCUGCCCCCGCCCGUAUCUAUUUAAUGCACUCUUGUGGAUUGCGAUUUAAUAACCACAAGAGUGCAUUAAAUAGAUAUGGGCGGGGGCAGAGAAAUAUUUGUGGGCAACAAUUGU
rnacentral:miRNA from 1 species